rnacentral:rRNA from 1 species
GACGAACGCUGGCGGCGUGCUUAACACAUGCAAGUCGAACGGAAAGGCCCUGCUUUUGUGGGGUGCUCGAGUGGCGAACGGGUGAGUAACACGUGAGUAACCUGCCCUUGACUUUGGGAUAACUUCAGGAAACUGGGGCUAAUACCGGAUAGGAGCUCCUGCUGCAUGGUGGGGGUUGGAAAGUUUCGGCGGUUGGGGAUGGACUCGCGGCUUAUCAGCUUGUUGGUGGGGUAGUGGCUUACCAAGGCUUUGACGGGUAGCCGGCCUGAGAGGGUGACCGGCCACAUUGGGACUGAGAUACGGCCCAGACUCCUACGGGAGGCAGCAGUGGUGAAUAUUGCACAAUGGGCGGAAGCCUGAUGCAGCAACGCCGCGUGCGGGAUAACGGCCUUCGGGUUGUAAACCGCUUUCGCCUGUGACGAAGCGUGAGUGACGGUAAUGGGUAAAGAAGCACCGGCUAACUACGUG